rnacentral:rRNA from 1 species
UGGGGAACAUUGGGCAAUGGGCGGAAGCCUGACCCAGCGACGCCGCGUGGGGGAAGAAGUCUUUCGGGAUGUAAACCCUUGUUGUACGGGACGAAGGAAGUGACGGUACCGUACGAGGAAGCCCCGGCAAACUACGUGCCAGCAGCCGCGGUAAUACGUAGGGGGCGAGCGUUGUCCGGAAUCACUGGGCGUAAAGCGCACGUAGGCGGGCUGUCAAGUCGGCCGUGAAAGGCAUGGGCUCAACCUGUGCAUGUCGGUCGAUACUGGCGGUCUGGAGUAUGGGAGAGGGAACUGGAAUUCCCGGUGUAGCGGUAAAAUACGUAGAGAUCGGGAGGAACACCAGCGGCGCAGGCGGCUCACUAGACAGUUUCUGACGCUAAGAUACGAAAGCGUGGGGAGCAAACA